rnacentral:rRNA from 1 species
CCCUUAGAUGUUCUGGGCCGCACGCGCGCUACACUGACGAAUGCAACGAGCUUAUAACCUUGGCCGAAAGGUCUGGGUAAUCUCCAAAUUUCGUCGUGAUGGGGAUAGAUUAUUGCAAUUAUUAAUCUUCAACGAGGAAUGCCUAGUAAGCGCAAGUCAUCAGCUUGCGUUGAUUACGUCCCUGCCCUUUGUACACACCGCCCGUCGCUCCUACCGAUUGAAGUUUUCGGUGAAUUUGCUGGAGGUUUGCUUUGAUACUGGUUCGCCAGUGGAUUUGUUUUUCAAAAGCAAAUGAAUCGAUGGCUUUAGAGGAAGGAGAAGUCGUANCA